UCAGCACCCCCUGUAUAUGCCGGAUCAGAAGCCUACGGCCCCCCAGGAACCUAUGACACUUCGGGAGCUUACGACGCCUCGUCAGGAAGCUACGAUACUUCAUCUGGCAAUUAUGACGCUUCCUCGGGAAGCUACGACGCUUCUGCUGGCUAUGACGCUUCUGGAGGCUACGGGGCGUCAGGAGCAUAUGAUUCAUCUGGAUCUUAUGCAGCAACGGGAAACUACUCCACCUCCACACCCUAGAGUGGGAGGGAGCCAAACUGAGCCCUUGCCCUGGACGUACGCCACACGCAGCUGUAGAGUGGGAAGGGGAAAACAGCAGCGUUAGGCCUGAAACUGCUGUGGACGAUGGGGUGUCCACCCACCAAGGUAAACACUCAGACCACACACUCCUGCCCCUCCCCUGAAACACGCGUUCACACAAGCACACAAAUAUAGUGCAGAAACACCCUUGACCAAACGUCACCCCCUGACUCAUCUCCAUGGAUUUUUCUUUCUAUUUAUUUUUUAAGUUUACUUUUUUUGGUCUGGAUUUCAAAUUUUUUGGAAAUGUAUUUUUUUCUUCUUUUAAUUUUUCUACUCUAUUUUCCCAUUUUUUUCCUUUUAUUCAUACAUUCCUGCUUCAAACUCACCAUACAAUUCUUAAAGGGUGUUUUUCUCGCUUUAAGUCCACACGCAAAAGAUUUCAGUUACCAGAUGACCACGGCUGGAUUCAGGAUCUUUUUGUGGAUGGGUUGUUUUUUCCCUAGAUGCAACCCUCUGGCCACAUUGGGGUUAAGUGCCUUGCUGAAGAGCACACUGGUAGGCCCUCCAUUAGAGUUGAAAAACCUGGCUCAGGAUCGGUUGCUGGUUCAACGCUCGCCCCCCUCCUCAACACCCCCCAAAAAAAACAAUACCGAUUUCAAUGCCACAUUCUACUUGUACGAAUGACAAUGGACACAGAUGCUACCAUGUUGUUUUAAAAUACAUUUUGUUCUUUGUUCUGUUUAAUUAUCAAUAAAUAAAUUUCAACUUG